rnacentral:lncRNA from 1 species
AAAUAUCGAUUAUUUAGGUCAUUCAAUCGAUUGACCAUUAAUAUUUGCUUUUAAGCUUAUUCUAUCAUAUAUAAAUCAGGUGUCUUUCCUCUUCAUUUCACACCCGAACUCUGAAUUUCUCUAUUUUUGUAAAAUUAUCUCCCAUCUCUCUCUCUCUCUCUCUCUCUCUCUCUCUCUCUCACACACACACACACACACA